GAUUGAUAGAUCCCAUAUAGAUGCACAUGUUGCUCACACAGCUCAACCAACUAAAGCCAAUAUCCACUACAAAAACUCAUAAUCGAAUUAAUGUUUAUAUGUAGUCAAACUACAGUAGUCUUAUUGUGAGCAACUAUGAUACUGCUGGUUAAAGGAUCAGUCACACAACUACAGCAUCAAGAUAAUCACUAAUGAUCGAAUAGAAAUCUAUGUGAUUUUUUAUAUGGGUAUGCUCAGUACUAGUUGUUCUUUAACAACUAUCUGUACUUUUCGCUCAGUAUCUCUACACCAU
rnacentral:lncRNA from 1 species